rnacentral:tRNA from 1 species
AGUGCCGCUAGCUCAAUGGCAGAGCACCCGGUUGCAGGCCGGGCGGUUACUGGUUCAAGUCCAGUGUGGCACUA